rnacentral:rRNA from 1 species
AUGCACGAAAGUGUGAUCCAGCAAUGCCGCGUGAGUGAUGAAGGCCUUAGGGUUGUAAAGCUCUUUUACUAGGGAUGAUAAUGACAGUACCUAGAGAAUAAGCUCCGGCUAACUCCGUGCCAGCAGCCGCGGUAAUACGGAGGGAGCUAGCGUUGUUCGGAAUUACUGGGCGUAAAGCGCGCGUAGGCGGCUAUUCAAGUCAGAGGUGAAAUCCCAGGGCUCAACCCUGGAACUGCCUUUGAAACUAGAUAGCUAGAAUACUGGAGAGGUGAGUGGAAUUCCGAGUGUAGAGGUGAAAUUCGUAGAUAUUCGGAAGAACACCAGUGGCGAAGGCGACUCACUGGACAGUUAUUGACGCUGAGGUGCGAAAGCGUGGGGAGCAAACAGGAUUA